rnacentral:rRNA from 1 species
AUUGAACGCUGGCGGCAUGCCUUACACAUGCAAGUCGAACGGCAGCACGGGAGCAAUCCUGGUGGCGAGUGGCGAACGGGUGAGUAAUAUAUCGGAACGUGCCCAGUCGUGGGGGAUAACGUAGAGAAAUUUACGCUAAUACCGCAUACGAUCUAAGGAUGAAAAGCGGGGGACCCGCAAGAGCCUCGCGCGAUUGGAGCGGCUGAUAUCAGAUUAGGUUGUUGGG